GAUGAACGCUAGCGGCAGGCCUAACACAUGCCAGUCGAGGGAGGAGCCUUCGGGCUUCGACCGGCGUACGGGUGCGUAACGCGUAUACAAUCUGCCUUUCACAUAGGGAUAGCCCGAAGAAAUUUGGAUUAAUACCUAAUGGUAUAUAGAUGUGGCAUCACCUUUAUAUUAAAGCUGAGGCGGUGAAAGAUGAGUAUGCGUUCUAUUAGCUAGUUGGAGAGGUAACGGCUCCCCAAGGCGACGAUAGAUAGGGGUUCUGAGAGGGAUAUCCCCCACACUGGUACUGAGAUACGGACCAGACUCCUACGGGAGGCAGCAGUGAGGAAUAUUGGACAAUGGUCGGAAGACUGAUCCAGCCAUGCCGCGUGCAGGAAGACGGCCUUAUGGGUUGUAAACUGCUUUUGCAGGGGAAGAAUAAGGACUACGCGUAGUUUGAUGACGGUACUCUGCGAAUAAGCAUCGGCUAACUCCGUG
rnacentral:rRNA from 1 species